ensembl:lncRNA
UUUCUGACUUUAGCAUUAAGGUGAUUCUGCUGAUACUGAAUAACUUAGGAAAUGUUGUUCCUUCUAUUUUCUGGGAGAGAUUGGAUAGCUGGUAUAAUUUUAUCUAAGUGAUCAUUUUGUGGCCAUAUUAGUUUUAUAGUGUGCUUUUAUUAUCAUUUUAAAGUUUACAGGAUCAGUAGUAAUGUCUCUCUUUCAUUUUAGAUGUUAGUAACGUUUGUCUUCUCUAUGUCUUACUAGCCUGGCUAGAAAUUUUAUUAGUGUUUUCAAAAUUGCAGCUUUUGUUUCAUUGAUAUUCUCUAUUAUUUUUCUGAUUUUAACUACACUGAUUUUUGCUGGUAUUAUUAUCAUUAUUAUUUUAUAUUAUUUAUGUGUAAAUUGCUUUUCUAUUUCUGGUUUCCUAAGAUUCUGAAGUUUAGGAUAAUGAUUUUAUAUUUUCCUUUAUUCUAACUUGUGUGGGUUUUGUUUACAGUAUUGGGGAUACUGGUGAUUGAACUCAUACUAUGCUAUGUCCUCAGCCCUUUUUAAAAUUUUGAGAAAGGAUCUCCCCAAGUUUUCCUGGUGGGACUUGAACUUAAAAUACUCCUGCCUCAGCUUCCCUCAGUGCUAUUAUUAUAGCCCCAGGGCCUUGGAGCCCAGUCCCCGGAGCAGAAGACUGAAGCACAUAGGAAAAUGGAAGACAGAAGAGAGGAACGGACAGGGCAGAGUUAGCGCUCCCACCGAGUGACUCCAAAGGAUUCCUAGAAAAGAUGCAGCUUUCAAAGGCGACUGCAGUGAGGAGUAUCUGUGAACAAUUUCAAGAAUCACUUCUGAAGAAAUACCAGUACAGAAAUUAUUAUGAUUUGCAAUCACACCUGUGUGUACUGAACAACAUGACCUGUGAAAUCCUGCAGUAUAUUAUAGAAGAAGCACAUAAGGAGUGAUAUGGCACAUUCUCAAUUGAGGAUAACUUAUGAAAAACAUUUUAUCCAUUGGACACCUCUUCUUUUUUUUUUGAUAAUUUUCAUACAGUCUUAAUCUAGGUUAUCCAUUUCAGUCAUGUAGUUUGAGAGCAUAAAUAUAGCAAUCACAAAACCAAAAGUAUGUUCAAUACUUUGAAAUUAUUAUUGCUAAUUUUCUUGAUCAUUUUCUAAAUAAUGGAUAAUUAAAUAUUUUCAAGUAUCCACUAUACUUUGUACAAAACUGUACAAAAACAGUGAAAUAUAAUCCUUUGCAUAUACACUCACAUAUACACACUCAUAUUUAUAAAUAUCAAAUGGCAAUGAAUGAUGAAAUAUAAAAACACAAGGACAAAGUCCAUUCCUUUGAUAAAAUAGUAUUUCCAAUUUUACAAUGUAUUCCAGCUACCUGUGGUCAUGUACACCUGUAAUCCCAGUACUCAGAAGGCUGAGGCAGGAAGCUCACCAUGAGUUCAAGGGGAGCAUGGGCUACAUAGUGAGUUCAAGGCCAGCCUGAACUACAUAACAAGACCCUACCUUAAAAACAUAUUCAAAUCAAAUCAAAUGCAUUCCAUAGUGGUUUUACUAAUAUACAUUUCCACCUACAGUGUAGCAGGGUUCUUUUGUCCCCACAGCUUUGCCAGUACCAACUAUUUGUUAUUGAUUGUUUGAUGAUAGCCGUUCUUUCAGGAGUGAAAUGAAAUCUCAGUGUUGUCAUUUGCAUUUCUCUAAUGAUCAGUGAUGUUGAACAUUUAUGCGUUUUAUUGGCCAUUUAUGCUUCAUGUAAGAAGUGUCUAUUCAUUUCAGAUGUCCAUCUUUUGAUUGGGUCUUUUAUUUUGGGGGCUCUAAUUUUUUUGAGUUCUUUAUAUGUUAUAAAUGGAGAACUAAAAAAAAAAAAACUAAAGUAGAAAUUCCAUCUGAUCCAGCUAUGUGUCUUCUCACAAGAGUGAAAGAUGUCAUAUUGCAGUGAUAUGCAUUAAUAUGUUUAUAGCAGCACAAAUUAUAAUAGCUAAAUCUUGAAUGUUAUAUGUUCAUGAACAGAUGAAUGGUUAAAAACGAUGUGAUAUUUAUAUACAUAAUGAAGUAAUUUUCUGCCAUGAAGAAGGAUAAAACUUGAGUAAUUUGUAGGAAAAUGGAUGCACUUUGAGACCAUAAUGUUAACCAAAAUGAAUCAGACACACAAGCUUAGAUAUUGCAUGAUUUCUCUUAUAUGUGAACCCCAAAAUUCAAAUAAAGAACAAAA